GCACAAGCAGUGGAGUAUGUGGUUUAAUUCGACGCAACGCGAAGAACCUUACCAAGUCUUGACAUCCCUUGACAGACAUAGAAAUAUGUAAUCUCUUCGGAGCAAGGAGACAGGUGGUGCAUGGUUGUCGUCAGCUCGUGUCGUGAGAUGUUGGGUUAAGUCCCGCAACGAGCGCAACCCUUAUGGUCAGUUACUACGCAAGAGGACUCUGGCCAGACUGCCGUUGAUAAAA
rnacentral:rRNA from 1 species